rnacentral:rRNA from 1 species
UGGGGAAUAUUGCACGAUGGAGGGAACUCUGAUGCAGCGACGCCGCGUGAACGAAGAAGGCUCUCGAGUCGUAAAGUUCUUUUACAUGGGAAGAUAAUGACGGUACCAUAAGAAAAAGCCCCGGCUAACUACGUGCCAGCAGCCGCGGUAAUACGUAGGGGGCUAGCGUUGUCCGGAAUCACUGGGCGUAAAGGGUUCGCAGGCGGAAAUGCAAGUCAGGUGUAAAAGGCAGUAGCUUAACUACUGUAAGCAUUUGAAACUGCAUAUCUUGAGAAGAGUAGAAGUAAGUGGAAUUUUUAGUGUAGCGGUGAAAUGCGUAGAUAUUAAAAAGAAUACCGGUGGCGAAGGCGACUUACUGGGCUCAUUCUGACGCUGAGGAACGAAAGCGUGGGUAGCAAACAGG